UCUUUAAAAUUGGUCUAGAACAGUCAGUAAAAAACCUAAGCCUUAUUUUGCAAUAUAGUUUUUAAGAACGUGGUAGUACACUUAUGACUACAAUGAAAGGUAUAUCUUGAUUCUUGGCAAUCAUCAGCUACUUUGCUCCUCCAUACAUCAUCUAAGAUGUAAUCUUUUGGAUUCAUACCAUGUAAUCAAUUUUGUCAAAUGUACACCAUAACAAGCAAUUAAAAAUCCUUAAAACAAUAAUGGAAGACAAAACAUGCGAGAGAUGUGAUGCUGUACCUAAUGAAGUCAAUGGAUGCUAAACCAAUGACUUUUUAAGAAGGUAAAAGUCUAAAGGCUUAAAAUAAAAGAACGUGUUGGUUUUUUUUGUGUUUACGUGUUGAACAGCUA